rnacentral:lncRNA from 1 species
AAGAUAAUAAGCCAAGUUUUCUACAAAUUCUUAGCUUAUCUAGUAUCUGAUAUUAUUCGAUCUCUGAUGCAAAUGGUUUUGGUGACAGGUCUUUGAUGGUCAUGGUGGGAAGGGAGCAGCACUCUUUGUACAUGACUACUGAUCAAGAAUCAUAGUUCAGAUGUGUUAAUGAAAGCCAAGAAGAGGUAUGCGUUCUAUUAAUUUGGGCUCGUCUUUUUUUUCUUGCUCAUCUUUGAUCAUGAAUUUUUAAUUCAGCUAUGAAGAUAUUCCACCAUUCCUUACACACUGUUACGUCUUUAUAAUAUUAUUAGCUCACAUCAAAAUGAUUUUGGAAUCAAAAGGAACAGAUUUUGAACAAAAAUCACUGAAUUUUGAAUGGCCACGAACUUGAUCUUCUAUAACUUGUGUACACUUGGUCAUGGUUGGAGUGUUGAUUAUCUUCAUGAAAAUUUGAUUGCUUCUCAUCAUUGUAUGACUUAACGUUAUUUGCUAUGGAACUUUUCUCAUCUGUACGGACUCAUCAGCAGCAAAUGUAAUCUUGUUUAAACUUUUCUUGUCAGUAAAUGAAAUACAAGAUCAAUUGCACGUGCCAAUAAAUGGAUCCAUUCCUAGCAGAGCAUAGAUAAACCAGUAAGAGCAGGAUACGAUAACGGCAAAUGACAGGAAAAAUGGCAUGUACUCCACAUUCUUUGUCCUGAUUACUAGUCUAAUGAUAGACAGAGGAGAUAUAUAACGAUGGAGAAGAUGGUGGAAG